GCUAUUAUGAGGUGGACUUAUCUUUAUAUGGAGGUACAGAGAGUAUACGAAAGUAAAUCUAGGUAUACGGAGCUAGACGGGGAACAAGGCAAUCAAAGGAAGAGUCUUCAAAAGAUUUUAACGUUAGGAAGAAUUCUUCUUCAUCAUCAGUGGAUCAAGAUGAAAGAAAGUUACUUGCUGGCUUGUACUGGCUAGUUAGAAUAUUGUUCAUUAGAUCAUUUUCAGCUAUUUACUUUAUUAAAAGGAGUUAUUAAUACGGACAGUCACUUGUCUCAUAACAUAAUUCAGUUAAAAGAAUCAAUUGACGAUAUUUAUCAUAACUUGAUAUCGAAAAGUAAUACUGCCCUGCUUCAUUUUUAUCACCUUUUGUCAACAAG